rnacentral:rRNA from 1 species
GACGAACGCUGGCGGCGUGCUUAACACAUGCAAGUCGAACGGAAAGGCCCUGCUUUUGUGGGGUGCUCGAGUGGCGAACGGGUGAGUAACACGUGAGUAACCUGCCCUUGACUUUGGGAUAACUUCAGGAAACUGGGGUUAAUAUCGGAUCGGAGAUCAUGCUGCAUGGUGGGGGUUGGAACGUUUAGGCGGUUGGGGAUGGACUCGCGGCUUAUCAGCUUGUUGGUGGGGUAGUGGCUUACCAAGGCUUUGACGGGUAGCCGGCCUGAGAGGGUGACCGGCCACAUUGCGACUGAGAUACGGCCCAGACUCCUACGGUGGGCAGCAGUGGGGAAUAUUGCACAGUGGGCGGAAGCCUGAUGCAGCAACGCCGCGUGCGGGAUGACGUCCUUCGGGUUGUAAACCGCUUUCGCCUGUGACGAAGCGUGAGUGACGGUAAUGGGUAAAGAAGCACCGGCUAACUACGUG